ACGGAGGCAGCAGCUAAGAAUAUUCCGCCAUGGACGAAAGUCUGACGGAGCGACGCCGCGUGGAUGAUGAAGGCCGGAAGGUUGUAAAAUCCUUUUAAGCAUGAAGAAUAAGCAGUGUAGGUAAUGACAUUGUGGUGACGGUAGUGCUUGAAUAAGCAACGGCUAAUUACGUGCCAGCAGCAGCGGUAAUACGUAAGUUGCGAGCGUUGUUCGGAAUUAUUGGGCGUAAAGGGCAUGUAGGCGGAUAUGCAAGCUUGGUGUGAAAGGCAGGGGCUCAACUCCCGAACUGCGUUGAAAACUGCAUAACUAGAGUGACUGAGAGGCAGGCAGAAUUCCAGGUGUAGGGGUGAAAUCUGUAGAUAUCUGGAAGAAUACCAAUGGCGAAGGCAGCCUGCCAGCAGAUGACUGACGCUGAGGUGCGAAAGUGCGGGGAGCAAACAGUAUUAGAUACCCUGGUA
rnacentral:rRNA from 1 species